AACGAACGCUGGCGGCAGGCCUAACACAUGCCAGUCGAGCGGACCCUUCGGGGUUAGCGGCGGACGGGUGAGUAACGCGUGGGAAGAUGCCCUUCUCUACGGAAUAGUCCUGGGAAACUGGGGGUAAUACCGUAUACGCCCUUUGGGGGAACGAUUUAUCGGGGAAGGAUUAGCCGGGGUUGGAUUAGGUAGUUGGUGGGGUAAUGGCCUACCAAGCCGACGAUCCAUAGCUGGUUUGAGAGGAGGAUCAGCCACACUGGGGCUGAGACACGGCCCAGAAUCCUACGGGAGGGAGCAGUGGGGAAUCUUAGAAAAUGGGGGCAACCCUGAUAGAGCCAUGCCGGGUAAGUGAUGAAGGCGGUAGGGAAGUAAAGCUGUUUCAGACGGGAAGAUAAUGACGGUACCAGCAGAAGAAGCACCGGCUAACUCCGUG
rnacentral:rRNA from 1 species